rnacentral:rRNA from 1 species
CAGUCGCCGCGGGAAUACGUAGGGGGCAAGCGUUAUCCGGAAUUACUGGGUGUAAAGGGAGCGUAGACGGUUAAACAAGUCUGAAGUGAAAUGCCGGGGCUCAACCCCGGAGCUGCUUUGGGAACUGUAGAACUGGAGUGUCGGAGGGGUAAGCGGAAUUCCCAGUGUAGCGGUGAAAUGCGUAGAUAUUGGGAGGAACACCGGCGGCGAAGGCGGCUUACUGGACGACAACUGACGUUGAGGCUCGAAGGCGUGGGUAGCAAACAGGAUUAGAUACCCCUGUAGUCCCUGUCUCUUAUAA